UACGUAGGGGGCAAGCGUUGUCCGGAAUCAUUGGGCGUAAAGCGCGUGUAGGCGGCUCGAUAAGUCUGCUGUGAAAGUUCAGGGCUCAACCCCUGAAAUGCCGGUGGAAACUGUCGAGCUAGAGUCCGGAAGAGGCGAGUGGAAUUCCUGGUGUAGCGGUGGAAUGCGCAGAUAUCAGGAAGAACACCCGUGGCGAAGGCGGCUCUCUGGAACGCAACUGACGCUGAGACGCGAAAGCGUGGGGAGCGAA
rnacentral:rRNA from 1 species